GACGAACGCUGGCGGUGUGCUUAACACAUGCAAGUCGAACGGAAAGGCCUCUUUCGGGGGGUACUCGAGUGGCGAACGGGUGAGUAACACGAGAGUAACCUGCCCUUGACUUUGGGAUAACUUCAGGAAACUGGGGCUAAUACCGGAUAGGAGCUCCUGCUGCAUGGUGGGGGUUGGAAAGUUUCGGCGGUUGGGGAUGGACUCGCGGCUUAUCAGCUUGUUGGUGGGGUAGUGGCUUACCAAGGCUUUGACGGGUAGCCGGCCUGAGAGGGUGACCGGCCACAUUGGGACUGAGAUACGGCCCAGACUCCUACGGGAGGCAGCAGUGGGGAAUAUUGCACAAUGGGUGGAAGCCUGAUGCAGCAACGCCGUGUGCGGGAUGACGGCCUUCGGGUUGUAAACCGCUUUCGCUCAUGACGAAGCUUUGUGUGACGGUAGUGGGUAAAGAAGCACCGGCUAACUACGUG
rnacentral:rRNA from 1 species